ensembl:ncRNA C36F7.25 ncRNA
AGCACCUCCACCAUCCUUCUUAUCAAAAACAUUAUUAUUCAAUCCAGCCAAUGUCUGAUAAUUCGGAUCGUGAGU